GACGAACGCUGGCGGCGCGCUUAACACAUGCCAGUCGAACGGAAAGGCCUGCUUUCCCUUGUGGAUUGCGGGUACUCGAGUGGCGAACGGGUGAGUAACACGUGAGUGAUCUGCCCCCAACUUGGGUAUAAGCCUGGGAAACUGGGUCUAAUUCCCGAUAGGACUGCAGGGUGGUGCCUGUGGUGGAAAACGAUUUUCUAGUGGUUGGGGAUGAGCUCGCGGCCUAUCAGCUUGUUGGUGGGGUAAUGGCCUACCAAGGCGGCGACGGGUAGCCGGCCUGAGAGGGUGGACGGCCACAUUGGGACUGAGAUACGGCCCAGACUCCUACGGGAGGCAGCAGUGGGGAAUAUUGCACAAUGGGCGGAAGCCUGAUGCAGCGACGCCGCGUGGGGGAUGACGGCCUUCGGGUUGUAAACUCCUUUCGACCGCGAGGAAGCCACCUGGUUGGAAGGGUGGUGACGGUAGUGGUAGAAGAAGCACCGGCUAACUACGU
rnacentral:rRNA from 1 species